UCUGUUCGCACCCCGUUUAUUUAUCAGCAGACUUAUGACGUCGGCGGUCGAUUUACGUCACGGGACAUGACGUCAUCACUGCAAGCUACGUGCUACGUGAAAGAGACAUAUAUGAUGCUGUACUGACAUUGGUGGCGCACAUCAACAAAUGCUCUCCCGAGCUGUUUGGUGUGUUUAUUGUUUCACAUAGGUGAUUUAUCGCUGCUUAGGGCCAGCGGCCCAUCGGACAGCCUUGAGAAGACCGCCGCACGCUGUUUGCAGUCCGUCGACCACCUGUCUUCAACGGACGGACGCCCUCGGUCCCACUCAGCAAUUGACUGAAGCCUAUCGCGCCGAUAUGCUCGCUCAUCUUCCAUCCUCGCCCUGCCUGAUGGUUUCGACGACCCGGGCUGUGGUCCCUGAGGUUCGGAACCCGUCUCGCUGGCCUGCCAGCAAGAGGCCUGGCGCUCGUCGCAGACGAGCGCUGCAGUGUGGCCAGUGAACCUGAUGCUUCACUGGCCACACUGCUGGCACUGAUACUGCACAUCGCACAGCUCGUUAUAUAACAAUUGAACACAUGUCAGGCGUGAUUAAUUUGUAGAUAUUUGUCAACAGCCUUUAAUUUUUGGCAUUGAUUCGUUGUGUGACGUUGUUUUGUUCGCAUGUGGCCAUGUGGAUAAGGCUACUGGCCAGUGGCCAUAGCCUUAUCCUUCUCGUUAAAUUUGUUAUCUGGAAAUAAAUGUCACCACUCACCAUAAA